rnacentral:lncRNA from 1 species
CUCCAGUCCCUGAGAGCGAGUUGCAGUCCUUUCCUCCCUGUCCCUCUGUGCUCAGCCCUGUUUUUGAGGUCUCAACAUCAUGGUUCUCAACUAAUUUGGGGGAAAAUAUCUUGAGCAAAAUACAACAGGAAAAGAAUCUUCACGUUUCUGUUCUAAAUUCAUUUUUAUCCUUGUCUCAAACUGUGGAUUCAACGCCACCACCAUGCUCUAUGGGAAGAAAGAAAAGCCCUCCAGUUCCCUUGGCUCUGCUGGAGGCUGGAGGGUGCUAGGCCCCUGUGUAGUAGUGCAUAGAGCUCUAGCUUUUUCUUUUCUCUGUAUAUUGGGCUCAGAGAUUACAUUGUGUCUCUAUGUGAAUACAGACGUUAGCAUUUGCCAACAUGUAACUGUCUACUUUCUCUUGUUUAAUAAAAAGGAAAAAGGGGGGGCAUAGACAGUGAGCAAGGGUGGGAUUGAGGUGUCCCGGGGGGGAUAGGUAUCUGACAACAUGGCUUCUCCUUUGGCAUGUUUCAUUGUGAUGUUUAACAGACAUCCUUGCCGUUUAAGGUGACACUUAAAAUAAAAUUCUCUCCUGAUGAAGACUUGAGCCCUGCCACUCAAUGGGAGAACC